GUGCUCACUUUGGCAGCACAUAUACUAUAAUUGGAAUGAUACAUUGAAGAUUAGCAUGACUUGCAGAAUGACAUGCAAAUGUGUGAAGCGUUCAAUAUUUUA
ensembl:snRNA U6 U6 spliceosomal RNA